rnacentral:lncRNA from 1 species
AAAUUCCAGACCUCUGGACAGCACCGAGAUCUGCUGUGGGUAAGCAGUGAGAAAAAUGAGGUGGCUAAGUGGACAGUGUAAAAUGAAAGUGACCAGGGGAAUAUUCCGGGAGUACCAAGUUGGUCGGAAUUGUGGGGGGAAAAAACUGUCCAAAAGGAGCCUGUGGAAAAAGUGACCAGAGAAGGGCUCACGCGCGUGGCGCGUGGAUGUCACUUGCGGCGCGUGGGUGGUCAGCGGCGGCGCGUGAGGCAGAUUCCGGCGACGAAAUUUGCAGGGGGUGUGCGCCUGACGUUGUGUGUCUCGAUGGUGUGGGAGGUGACAAAGAGAGACCACCGUAAGAGGCCACUGCUGCCGAAAAAGUGCCGGAACAGAGAGAGAGAAAGAGAGAGAGAGAG